GAUGAAGAACGUAGCGAAAUGCGAUAAGUAAUGUGAAUUGCAGAAUUCAGUGAAUCAUCGAAUCUUUGAACGCACAUUGCGCCCCCUGGUAUUCCGGGGGGCAUGCCUGUCCGAGCGUCAUUACAACCCUCAAGCUCAGCUUGGUGUUGGGCCCCGCCGCCCCGGCGGGCCCUAAAGUCAGUGGCGGUGCCGUCCGGCUCCGAGCGUAGUAAUUCUUCUCGCUCUGGAGGUCCGGUCGUGUGCUCGCCAGCAACCCCCAAUUUUUUUCAGGUUGAACGCGGAUCAGGUAGGGAUACCCGCUGAACUUAAGCAUAUCAAUAAGCGGAGGA
rnacentral:misc_RNA from 1 species